AAAUAAUUAUAUAGUUAUCCUUGGGCGAUCUUGAAUCUUAAUUAGUACACUCACGUUCCCUGUGGAAAAUCGAUACUCUGGAAUACUCCCGGGUGAAAGCUACAUCGGUAUCCGUGCGCUUGCGGAUUUUUUCUGUUUGCGUUUAAAAUACCCAACACGCCCGCCCUGCUCUGGCAGCCAAUUAGGCUCCGCCUCGAGGAUUAUGCUCCACCGCCUUUGAGGAUCAAGGAAAACCGUGCGAUUAAGGUCGGUUUGGUCCAACGGCCACGUUCAUUUGGAAGGGCUAUAUAAGCUGGCCCCCUGGCCCCUGGAGAGGACACCUCUGCUUCCCUAUUCAUUAUUCAUAGACAGAGCAAAAGCUGCGGUUUGGAGAUGAGAGCUCUCCACUCUUCUCUAAACUAGAGUAGAUCUAGAUAGUAGCGAGAUGGAGAGUGAGGGAGGAUUGGAUGAGAGGCCGACCUGUCGGUUCUUCCUCCGGUUGUACUUCGGCAUGAUCAAGCUCUAAUCAAGCUUGCUCAUGGGAUGACUCUGGUAAUCUACUUCUUAUUUCAUUACGCAAUUAUUAUCCAUGUAUGUUCUAGUUCAAAACUCUUUUGAGUACUUUAAUCUAUAGGACGCUAUAGGUGAGAGUUGUAGUAUAGGUGUAAGCGUGGUGCUUAGACCUAGAUUACUUGUGGAUAUCCCCUGUUAGCCGGAUCGUGUGGUAGGCCGCGUAGGUGACAGCUACGAUGGUCCUCUGUAGUCCACCUCCUGUUAGCGGG
rnacentral:lncRNA from 1 species